CACCCUACGGGAGGCAGCAGUGAGGAAUAUUGGUCAAUGGCCGGAAGGCUGAACCAGCCAAGCCGCGUGAAGGACGAAGGUGUCAAGCAUUGUAAACUUCUUUUGUCAAGGGACAAAAUCAGGCUCGAGAGCCUGACCGAGGGUACUUGAAGAAAAAGCAUCGGCUAACUCCGUGCCAGCAGCCGCGGUAAUACGGAGGAUGAGAGCGUUAUCCGGAUUUCUUGGGUUUAA
rnacentral:rRNA from 1 species